rnacentral:rRNA from 1 species
GACGAACGCUGGCGGCGUGCCUAAUACAUGCUUGUACACCGCUGAAUACAGGAGCUUGCUCUUCUUGGACGAGUUGCGAACGGGUGAGUAACGCGUAGGUAACCUGCCUUGUAGCGGGGGAUAACUAUUGGAAACGAUAGCUAAUACCGCAUAACAAUAGGUGACACAUGUCAUUUAUUUGAAAGGGGCGAUUGCUCCACUACAAGAUGGACCUGCGUUGUAUUAGCUAGUAGGUGAGGUAACGGCUCAACUAGGCGACCAUACAUAUCCGACCUGAGAGGGCGAUCUGUCCUCCUGCAACUGAGACACGGCCGAUAUUCCUAAAUCAGGGAAAAUUUUGAAAUAAAAAUGAUUGCGAAACCCAGAAAAUUGUCCUGAACCCGACAAAGGGCCCGUUUCGGGUUGUUUUCCUUGGGCUACAUCCCCCAGACGAGCCUCACAUAAAUAGUCGCUCAGUGUCAGGUGCCUAAACCCGACAGGACCCCUAAAUGCGGGGCGUUUCCCCCUGCCA